AAGGAUUUAAGUUAAAUACAAACUCGAAGCCUUCAAAGCUUCAAAUAAAGGGAUUCUUUAAGCCUUA
rnacentral:tRNA from 1 species